rnacentral:rRNA from 1 species
GUGCCAGCCGCCGCGGUAAGACAGAGGUGGCGACCGUUGUUCGGAAUCACUGGGCAUAAAGCGCGUGUAGGCGGCAUCGUAAGUCGGGUGUGAAAUCCCUCGGCCUAACCGAGGAAUUGCGCCCGAAACUACCUUGCUUGAGGACCAGAGGGGAGCCUGGAAUUCCUGGUGGAGCGGUGAAAUGCGUUGAUAUCAGGAGGAACACCGGCGGCGAAGGCGAGGCUCUGGCUGGUUACUGACGCUGAGACGCGAAAGCUAGGGGAGCAAACGGGAUUAGAAACCCCUGUAGUCC